UACAGAGGGGGCAAGCGUUAUUCGGAAUUAUUGGGCGUAAAGGGCGCGUAGGCGGCCUGGCAAGUGGAAGGUGAAAUCCCUCGGCUUAACCGAGGAACUGCCCUCCAAACUGCUUGGCUUGAGUCCGGGAGAGGUGAGUGGAAUUCCCAGUGUAGCGGUGAAAUGCGUAGAUAUUGGGAGGAACACCAGUGGCGAAGGCGGCUCACUGGACCGGAACUGACGCUGAGGCGCGAAAGCGUGGGGAGCAAACAGGG
rnacentral:rRNA from 1 species